rnacentral:rRNA from 1 species
ACGCGAAGAACCUUACCAGGGAUUGACAUGACUGUAGUAGUGAAGCGAAAGCGGAACGACCCUUCGGGGAGCGGUCACAGGUGAUGCAUGGCUGUCGUCAGCUCGUGCCGUGAGGUGUUUGGUUAAGUCCACUAACGAGCGCAACCCUUAGCGCCAGUUACACGUGUCUGGCGCGACUGCCGGUAUUAAGCCGGAGGAAGGUGGGGAUGACGUCAAGUCAGCAUGUCCUUUAUACCCUGGGCGACACACACGCUACAAUGGCCAGCACAAUGGGUCGCCAAGCCGUGAGGCGGAGCCAAUCCUAAAAAGCUGGUCUCAGUUCGGAUUGCAGGCUGCAACCCGCCUGCAUGAAGUCGGGGUUGCUAGUAACCGCAGGACAGCUAUACUGCGGUGAAUACGUUCCCGGGUCUUGUACACACCG